UGAGGAAUAUUGGUCAAUGGACGGAAGUCUGAACCAGCCAAGUAGCGUGCAGGAUGACGGCCCUAUGGGUUGUAAACUGCUUUUGUAUGGGGAUAAAGUUAGGGACGUGUCCCUAUUUGCAGGUACCACACGAAUAAGGACCGGCUAAUUCCGUGCCAGCAGCCGCGGUAAUACGGAAGGUCCAGGCGUUAUCCGGAUUUAUUGGGUUUAAAGGGAGCGUAGGCUGGAGAUUAAGUGUGUUGUGAAAUGUAGACGCUCAACGUCUGAAUUGCAGCGCAUACUGGUUUCCUUGAGUACGCACAACGUUGGCGGAAUUCGUCGUGUAGCGGUGAAAUGCUUAGAUAUGACGAAGAACUCCGAUUGCGAAGGCAGCUGACGGGAGCGCAACUGACGCUUAAGCUCGAAGGUGCGGGUAUCAAACAGGAUUAGAUACCCUGGUAGUCCGCACAGUAAACGAUGGAUGCCCGCUGUUGGUACCUGGUAUCAGCGGCUAAGCGAAAGCAUUAAGCAUCCCACCUGGGGAGUACGCCGGCAACGGUG
rnacentral:rRNA from 1 species